rnacentral:lncRNA from 1 species
GUUAAAUUACAAUAAAGCCUCGUGCAGUUUGCAGCAAGCUCUCGAAUCCGCCUGGUGAUUGGGGUGACCGAGAACGUGGCCUGGGACCCCAGAUACUUGAGUUUUCGGGGGUCUAACAAUUGUACUAGGACAAAAAUAUUUGCUAACUGGCAGGAACAAGGAUUUUGUGAAGGUCAUUCUUGAGAAAACAGACACAGGUUGGUGUUUGCUACACAUUAGCUUUUGAGUCCAGAGGACGUGUCUAGAUGCCAUAUAUCUUUGAGAGGGUUGAGCAAUCUUGAGGGUUUCCCAGGUAUCCUCCGAGUGUAUGAGGUAAGUGAUCCACCACAGAGUUUCAGGCAUGGUCAUUUCCCAAAACAGUGCACAGACCCAGUAGAGGACUUCCCAUGUGGCCCAUGUAACUGUGGUGCCAGGCAGAAGGUUGCCCACAGAGUAUUUGGUGUGUUGAAGGCUCUAAAGUUUCUAUGUUGUCAGGCUUCAGCCUGCAGAUCCUGCUGGAACAGGAUAGCUGCAUCAAGCACGGAAGAAACAGGAGGCCGUCCUGAAUUUGAUGCCUGUUUGUGUUACAUAGUGAUUUCCAGGCCAGCUUGGGCUACAGAAUGGAGCCCCUUGUUUUUGAAAAAAAGAGCACAAUUUUCUUUUUACAUAUGAAGCUGUAAGACGUUCUUGUGAAGUAUGUUUUUUGUUUUGGGGUUUGGUUUUUUGUUGUUUUGGUUUUGGAUUUUCAAGACAGCGUUUCUCUGUGUAACAGCCCCUAGUUGUCCUGGCAAUCACUCUGUAGCUCAGGCUGGUCUCGAGGUCGAGAGAUCCGCCUGCCUCUGCCUCCUGAGUACUGGGACUAAAGGCAUGCACCACCACUACCUAGCCAUGAAGUUCAUUUUUUUGUUUGUUUGUUUUUGUCUUUAAAUUGGGGGAUGAGAGGGUACUAACAGUGAAACUCAAAGUUGUAAACAUUCUGGCUCUAAGUAAAUACAGGUCGUUUUUGUUAUUGGGUCCUCUUUUUAAAGCUGGCCUAAAACUUGCACCAGGACUGCUGCAUCGCCCUCUCUUGUGUUGGGAUGACAUUUGUGAGCCCAUGCCUGCCUGGCUCUAAGUAUGUCUAUGUGUUUGUGUGUGGGAGUAUGGGCGAGUACAUGCCAUGAUGAACAUGUGGAGGUCAGAGGACACCUCAGAUGUCUUUUAAAACUCACCUUCUGCCUUGGUUGAGGCAGUGUCUUUUCUCUUGUUUACUAUUGCUCAUGCUAUACUAGCUAGCCCACAGGCUCUAUCUUCUUCUCACAGCACUGGAAUUAUAGACACGUAUUACCAUGUUUGGCUUUAAGUGGUUUUGGGGAUCAGAACUGAGUGGUCUUCCCCUGGCCCAGUUGUUUUAACAUCAUUUGCAAUGCCUUUAGGAAAACAAUAUUAUUUCUGUAGGCAGUUUUGGCUUUAUCAAUUGUAUUGAAGUUUCUUGACUUUCGGCUAACAGGAAAACCCAAACUAGAUCCUAGGAUAAGGUGCUUCUUUUCUUCUCCCCUUAAGUUUUCCUAACUUAAGAAGGGAAGACUGGAGGGUGGGGAAUGUAGCUCAGAUGGUAGACUGCGUGUUUGACAUGCAUGAGGCCCAGGGUUCAACACCUAGCACUUAAUAAAGCUAGGCAUGGUGGGAUAUUUCUGGAAAUCCAGCACCCAAAAAGUAAAGCAGGAGGAUCAGAAUUCAGUGCCAUGCUCAUCUCCAUAGCAAGUUUGAGGUUAGUCUGGGCUAUAUGAACACCCCCCCACACACACACACACACAAAAAAAAAAUCAACAAAGCAUGUAAGAAAAUGAGGUGAAACCCAUCCACAGAUAAGUCAUAAAUCCUCAAAGACAGUGAACAAGAACAGAAUCUGAAAUCUGAUGUGAGGAUAUGCAACCAUUAUAUUUGAACCCACAGCAUUUGGGAGGUAGAGGUCAGAGGCUCAGGAAUUCAAAGCCAGUCUUGGCUAUGUAGGAAGCCCAACCUAGGGCACACAAGACCCUGACUUAAUAGGAGGAGGAGGAAAGAAGAAAGGGACGUUAAGAAUCUGAUAAACUGCACAAAUAUGUUAUGCUUCUCUGUUGAAACACAGAUAUCACCUCCCUUUUUGAUCAAAAAUAAAGCAACAUUUUGCCUUUUUUGCAGAGUACUGGGAUUGCACCCAGUGUUUGGUGUGUGCUAACCUUCCAUACCACUGAUUAUUCAUUCUUGUUUAAAAAAGGAUUCUAAGCAGGCGGUGGCGGCACAUGCCUUUAAUGCUAGCACGUGGGAAGCAGAAGCAGGCUGGAGGACCUCUGAGUUUGAGACCAGCCUGAUCUAGUUCUAGGACUGUCAGGGCUAUACAGAGGAAACCCUGUCUCAAAAAACAAAAAAAAAAAAAAAAUCUAGCUUCUGGAAGAAUGGAUCAGGGGUUAGGAGCAAUGCUGCUCUUCUAUAGAACCUGAGUUUGUUUUCUACCACCCACAUCAGGUGACUCAGGGCUGUAAGGAUUCGGGCAUUGUGCUGGCCUGCCCCUGUCACCUGGCAGAAUGCACUCAGGCAGUACCCUGGUUAGCCCAGUGAUCCGUGGUUUCGUAGUCUGCACGAAGGUGCAAAGGAACCCUUUAAAAGACAGACCCCCACCCGCUUACACUCUCUUUUCUGUACUCUCCUGCUGUUUUCCCUCUCUUUCCCGCUGUUCCCCUGGGACAGACAGGACUUUUCCUGUCUCCCUCUUCUCUUCUGUCCUCCCUCUGUCUCUGUGUCUCUUUACCUCUUUUCUCUUUCCUCCCCAACCCCUCCCCCUUCCCUUUCUAAUAAAACUUCCCACUUAAGCUCUGUCUGCCUGGCAUGUUUGUCACCCAGCCUGGGUCACGCUCCCCUGCCAUGCAAUCUGCCAAGGUGUCUCUCCAGCUUUAUCAUAACGAUGGCCAGCUGUAACCCCAGCUCCAGCAACCCAAGCCCUCUUCUCUGGGGGCAUACACACAGACACAUAAAUAAAAAUAAAAAAAGAAUUAUAGCUGGGCAUACUUUCAAUUCCAGAACUCAGGAAGCAGAGGCAGUCAAAUCUUUGUGAGUUCAAGGAAGGCCCAGGAACCUCAGGAUACUUUAAUGGCCUUGGUAAGAACAAGGUACACCCAAAUUUGUGGACACCUCACUGAGGUCUGAUGGCUGAUUCUGGGGUGCUUCUGAGCCUUCAUGAAGAGGCUUUUUAAAUUCCUCGUGGACCUCCUGGGGGCCAAUUACUAUCUUACUGUACUGAUAUGAAUAUGCAGGCCAAUUCUAAUAAAAUCAGAAUGUUUUUCUUUUAUAUAUUUACUUACUUGUUAUUUUGGUUUUUCAAGACAGUUCCUUUGUGUAGUCCUGAAUGUCCUGGAACUCACUCUGUAUUCCAGGCUGGCUUUGAACUCCGAGAUAAACUUGUCUUCAGAGAGCUAGGACAAAGGUUCAAGCCACCAUGUCCCGUUGUUUGUUUGUUUUAAGGCACAACAUGGAGUCCUUUUGUUUUGAGACAGUCUCUCCAUGUACCUUGCUAACUUGGAGUUUGCUGUGUAGGUCAGGCUUGUGACUUACAGCGAUCAAUCAUCAAUCGUCCUGCCCCUGCCUCCAGAAUGGUAGGGUUACAGGUGCUACCACAUCUAGCCAGCAAAGUUUUUCAAGAGGGCUUUGUAAACAAUGGCUCAAUAAACUCAAACUUAAUUCCUUAAAGCUCUGAUUCUGGGUAAUCAUUCUCCAAUGGGAAACUCCUGUCAACAGCUGCCGCCUGAAGUUUCCACUUGUGUCCUGCUGUGGGGGAAUAUAGCUCCUAAUUGCAACUAUGCAAGUAGAUUUUACCAUGAAAGAAGUAUUUGGUAAGUUUUGAUAUUUGGAGGGAUCAGACUACAAGGAAAAGAUAAGUGUUUCGAGGUAGUUUAACAAAGUAUAAUUUACUGAAUAGUUAUGAAUCAUGGCUAGCUAAAGAGACCAGCUUCUUUUUAUAGUCAGCAAAUAAAAAAUAGAACCCCAGCUAGCAGCAAUGUGCUGAACAGCAGUCAAGCUUAAGUCUUCCUUUAUUUUUACCCAGCCCAUGUCCUUAAUUCUUGAUUCAUUUUUAAUUUUUUAUUUUUGGGGUUUUUUGGUCACUAUGAAGACUGGCCUAAACUCACAAAGAUCAGCAUACCUGUGCUCCCAAGUGCUGGGAUUAAUGGCACCAUAACUGAGCUACCCUCCAGCCCUUGUUCCUAUGGUUUUAUUGUCAUAUAUUGCUUUUUGGCCUGGACCAGCAAGUUGUUCUUCAGUGACAGGGCCCUGAGGAGGAAGGACAAGGGGGUCAGAGAUAAAGAAGAUAGAACAGGUGGGCUCAGGAGAUUUGCACAAGCUAUGUCUUAUACCAAGCAAGCUUUUUAAGAAGUACAGCAUCUUACAUACUAUUUGCAGGGAAAAAUGGGGCAGAGUCAGUAGAAAGGUAUCAUACAACAGGCUUUUAUAUGGACUCUGGGGGUUAAAUUCACCUUCUCAUGCUUGCAUAGCAAGCAUUUUACUGACUUUACUGACUGAGCCAUCUCUCCAGCUUCUGGUUUUUUGUUUGUUUGUUUGUUUUGUUUUGUUUUUGAGGCAGGAUCUUUUUAUAUAGCCUUGACUGUCCUGGAACUUGCUAUGGAGACCAAGAUGGCCUUGAUCUGCCUGCCUCUGCCUCCCAAGUGCUGAGAUCAAAGGUGUGCACCACUAUACCUAGUCCUGGUAUAGUAUUUUAAUGUGGAGAGAAUAUGUUUAUUGCAAUGCCGAUGUCUGACUUGCAUACAUACAUACAUUGCAUACCCCAUGUAUACAUACAAUACACAUAUAUUUGUUUUGGUGCUAGGGGCAGAGUCCAGGGUCCCAAACAAACUAUAUGUAUAUUACAUGUGAGCUGCAUCUUAGCCCUCAAAUUUGUUUUUUCUUCUUAUUCAGCUUCAUGCAGUUGCUUUGGUGGAUCCCUGAAUCCUUAGAACACCUGCUAGGGUAAGGGGUCAGGUUUUAGAGACGGACCCAGAGCUGAGUGCUGGAGUGGUGAGGCCUCUCUGGUGGGUGGCAUGGUGAGUGGAGCUUGGACUUGAAAGGGAACCUAUGAGAUGAUGUUAGAGUGCCUGAGGGAAGGUCUGAGUAGUGAAAGGAUGAGACAAAGGCUGGGACAUGGCUCAGUGUCCAGUAUCUGUGCCUGUUAGUGUGUGGAGGGCUCUAGGCUUCACCCUAGUGUCCUCCCCACAAAUGAAGGAAAUUGUGAGCUGGGGUAUUAGUAGGGGAGGCAUCAUAAAGAAGACAGUUGUAGGGAAAGGUGUGAGAUCUUAACUUUCCCCAGACUAUUAGUGCUUCAGGUGACCCUUGAUACUCAUAUCGAUGGAAAAGGGGGGUUGGGUGCUGUUUGCAUAGUCGUGUUUUGGUGUGUUGACAUUAGUAGUGAUAGCACAGAGUUGAGAUAGGCAUGUCCUAGCCUGCCAAAAAGCACCCAUGGGGGAAUUAGUGACAACAGAAAGGACUUAUAGGGAGGCAAAUUUCCAACCACAGAACCAAAGGUUAAGUUGCCACUUGGAGCCACCAGCCAGAAACCUUCAGCCAGAGAGGAAGGAAGGCCAGGAGCCACCUGGCUUCCAGUGAAUGGGAUAGGAGAAAGUCUGUCCUCAUAAUGGCAGUGGGUGUUUGUCUGAAGCCUUGGACCCAGAGAUUUCUCAUGUCUACCCACAGGCCAAUGGGAAGUGGGAUGUAUCUCUGAGGUGGAGAGACUAGCCAGCCAGCCCGAGCUCUGGCCCCAUAGGAACAGCACAGCCUAGAAUCCCAGACCUUGAGAACCAGAGGCAAAAGAAUAAGUUUAAGAUAGCUUGUUUGAGGCCAGCCUGGUCUACAUGAAGUUUGCAUGGUGGGAAAAAAUAGGAAGGUAGAACUCUUUGGCUUGAGCAGAGCUAGGAAAUGGAAAUAUGUUGAAAGCAGGAAGAAUUGGUUCAUGGGAACCUGUUUGAAUUUGUACUCGGGCUUAUGAAAUUUCUGUUCCUAGGUGGUGUGUUGCUCAUUGGUAGAAAUUACAUAGCACCACCCAGCACUGUGGUGAAAAAAAAAAGGAUGAAAAGUCCACCCAAGCUCCUCACAGUCCUCUCCACAGGUAUUCGGUGGCCUGCUUCCUACUGAGAGUGGGAAAGCAAUCCUGUUCCUAGCACUGGGGCUCUCAAGAAUCCCGUGAUGGGGCCGAUCAGCUGCAGUGGGAAAGUGCAGUGCAGAAGAGGCCUUUAGAUCACAGGAGGCUCUGGCUUUGAGAAGACAGCAGAGGAGGGCAGUGCCCCGCCCUGGGCACUGAGGAGGCUUUGAGACAAGUUUUUAUGUAGCCCAGGCAGGUCUUGAAUAUGCUACAUAGCUCAGGAUGGCCUUCUGACCCUUGAGUGCUGGAACUAUAGGUAUGUGCCAUUACACCCAGUUUUAUGAAAUACUAAAGACUGAAUCCAGAGCUUCAUACAUGCUAGACAUGAUCUCCAUCUCAGCCUUAUUUUUUGUGGGUUGUUUGUGUGUGGGUUGGUGUGGGUAUAGGUAUAUGUACAUGCAUGCCAAGGUCAGAGGUCAACAUCAGGUAUCUUCCUUACUCUAUACCUUAUUUAUUAUUAUUUAAUGUGUAUGGGUGUUUUGUCUGCCUGUGUGUCUAUGUACCAUGUAUGUGUGUAUACAUCUGUGCCUAUGAACCAUGCAUGUAUGUAUGUAUGUUGCUCAGAGAGGCUUGGAUCCCCUGGAUUUGUAAUUAGACGGUUGUCAAUCACCAUGCCACCAUGUGGGUACUGAGAGCUGGAAUCCUGUAGAAGAGCAGCCAGUGCUCUUAACUGCCGAGUCAUCCCUUCAGACCCUACUUUAUUUUUUUGAGGUUCUCUUACUCAAUCUGGGGCUCACUGAUUCAGUAGGCUGGCCUAACUCCUGGGUUGCACCUAUAAGGAGCUCACUCCCAAAGCUGGCUUGGGACUCACUAUAUAGCUCAAGUUAGCUUUAAACUGGUAAACUUCCUGCCUUGGUCUCCCAAUUGUUGGGUUGGAGCCACAGUCUGACAUGAGCCACAUGUCUGGCUCUCUCUCUUUAAAUGAUGGUGAGUGCCAGGGGCAUACCUGGUAGAAUGCUUGCCUGGCAUACUCUUGAGGUUCUAUUCAAAGCACUAGAAGGGGAGAGUUACCAACUGGAGUAUGGAGCCCACCACUGUGCUAACUAUAGGAACCAGCAUCUUCUCGGUCCUGAAGGCAUCUAAGCUGGGCGUAUUGCUGUCCCAGAGGCUGGCUCAUUAGGCAGACUACCCAUGCCUUGGAUGAAUGCUCUGUGCUUUCUGGGCAGGUUUGUGGCCAGCAGGUUCCAGGUACUAUGUAACCUCUUGUCCUUCCUAGCCCUCAGUCAUGCAGGAUCCAUGAGACUUUCACCCCAGUUUACAGGGGAGAGAACUGC